rnacentral:rRNA from 1 species
CCCUACGGGGCGCAGCAGUGGGGAAUAUUGGACAAUGGGGGGAACCCUGAUCCAGCGACGCCGCGUGAGUGAAGAAGUAUUUCGGUAUGUAAAGCUCUAUCAGCAGGGAAGAAAAUGACGGUACCUGACUAAGAAGCCCCGGCUAACUACGUGCCAGCAGCCGCGGUAAUACGUAUGGGGCAAGCGUUAUCCGGAUUUACUGGGUGUAAAGGGAGCGUAGGCGGCAGGGCAAGCCUGAUGUGAAAGCCCGGGGCUCAACCCCGGGACUGCAUUGGGAACUGCCCUGCUGGAGUGCCGGAGGGGCG